AUCGCUUCUCGGCCUUUUGGCUAAGAUCAAGUGUAGAAGUUCAUCCAUUUCUUUUAGUCUUUUCAGGUAAAGGGAGUAAAUAAAGGUUUUUAAAGUAUUCCUGAAUAAUAUUCUGAAUUUCUUUGGUGUUGGUUGUAAUCUUU
ensembl:snRNA U2 U2 spliceosomal RNA